CUCCUGCAUCUCCUUACAGCAAAAGUGGUUAGGAAGCAGCUAUAGGAUCAAAAUGGGGUUUGAGCACAGUUUUUGGAGGUGCAAGCAUGGAUUAUCCCUAUGGGAUGCCUGGAAGGAGAGGAGCUGGUGGCUUAGGGGGUGGAAGGGAGGUCUCCUGCUCUUACCCAGCCCAGCAUCCUUCAGAGAUGCUCCUGCCUGGAGCAAGCAAGAAACACCAUCACUGCUUCUUUCCAUUCAAGUUUUCCUCUGGUAUCUGCCUCUAACAGGACCUCUGGGGUUCUGAUGAUGGCAGCACCUGAGCUCAGCGUCCCCAGGAGCUGCAUGAGCCUGUGGGACCCUCUGCAGCCAUGAAAACAUCCCCAACGCAGUCACAGGGAGCUGGGAGCAAAGCAUGUCCUCAGUGCAAACCUGAGCACCCCCAGCACCAUGCUGAGCCCCAUCUGGCUGUGCAGCACGCAGCGCUGCGCGAUCCAGCUCAUCCCUGGCCACCCGUUGUGCUGGAGGUCUGUGGGUGACUGAUGUCCCUACAUCACCCACCAGCUCCCUCCUAAAGGCCACAUCUGAGCCCCCAGCAGCGUGCAUGGCCGAGUGCCCUCUGACCCGUGCACAGCAGUCCUCAGGUUUCCCCCUACACAGAGGCCCCGGCAGGGUGGGUGGCUCUGUCCCAGCCCCAUCGCUGUGGGGGGUCCAUGGGUGGGGAUGCAAUUCCCUGCUUAGGAGAAGGGGGGCAAAGCAAGGCAAGGGCUGAAGAGCCCAGAAUCCUCACCCCGUCUCUACCCUAAGCUUUCACUGCUCCAUCUUCUCCAUCACCCAGGGAGGCUUUCAAAGGAGGUGACGUCCCAACAUACAUCUGAGGUUGCGCAGCUUAGAAAGGGGAUUCAAAAGGUAAUGGGGGCUCAUACAUGCAUCAUCCGUGCCCACCGUGUGCCAGAGAUUGCAGGCACCUUCAGGUCAGCAUCUAAGGGACAAGAAAGGUGACAUAAGGUCAGCAGCAAGUGGAGGAGGAGAAUCCUGCUUCCCCCCAGCUCAACCUCUCCUUGCUGAUGCUGUAAUGAUGAAAGGUGGAGCAGAUGAGCACAUCUCAACAUGAAGGGUUAUGCUUGUAUGGCUGUUUCCAUAGGAAAUAAAGCACGCUCAACUCUUCCAAAAGCCAAAAGAGACAAAAAUUAAAGAACCCCUUAAUUCAAGACAUGAAUUAAUCCUUGGACGCUCUCCAAGGCCAUCCGAAAGCAGCUCAUCCCCCCAGGGAAUGCAAAAGGGGUGAUGCUCCAGGUUCAUGCCUCAUUGUGGGGUGUCUACAACGCACACAAGAAGCACCCUACUUCCCCAGUGCUGGGAGCUGGCAGCGGGAUCAGCCUUCCUGCACACUUCCCAUCAUAGAUGGAAGACCCUGUUGGAGACCAUGCUGGUGACAGCAGGAUCCAGGAGGUGCAGGGGGGAACAAAAUGAGGCCCAUCUUCAGGAGGACCUUCUCAGCGUAUCUGGGACAACCAAUCCCUGGCUGAGAGCAGCAGGUCCAGGCUGAGAUGCAGAGUGAGAUCAUCCCUGAAAACCUCUCCCACGUCCUGCCACUUAGCUGAGAAGGUAUUCGUCAAGCUCCUUCCCCAACCUGCUCGAUGAUGAGGCUUUGGCAAAGGCUAUUUCGUGAUGCCUGUGCCCUGCUUUACCUUUUCUCUGGGCCUGAAUAAGGAAAGGAAGGAAAACAGCGAUAAACUGUGUUGAACAAACAGCCCCCAUCCCCGAAGCCCCCAGGCUGCAGCCAGGGGUGCUGGCAAUGGGCACUUGAAGCGAACCAUCGGUCCUGAAAUAGAGCUGUCUCAGAGGGCAAAAGGCAAAUCGAAUGAAAAAUAAGUUACUAUUUUUGAA